rnacentral:rRNA from 1 species
UACGAAGGGGGCUAGCGUUGUUCGGAAUCACUGGGCGUAAAGCGUGUGCAGGCGGACCGUUAAGUCGGGGGUGAAAUCCCAGGGCUCAACCCUGGAACUGCCUUCGAUACUGGAGGCCUUCGAGUCCGGGAGAGGUGAGUGGAACUCCGAGUGUAGAGGUGAAAUUCGUAGAUAUUCGGAAGAACACCAGUGGCGAAGGCGGCUCACUGGCCCGGUACUGACGCUGAGAUACGAAAGCGUGGGGAGCAAACAGG